UCGGUUGAUCCUGCCGGACCCCACUGCUAUCGGGAUAGGACUAAGACAUGCUAGUCAAGCGCUUUCUAGCUAAUAUGAAAGUGCGGCAUACAGCUCAGUAACACGUGGCUAACCUGCCCUUGGGACGGAGAAAACCCCGGGAAACUGGGGUUAAUUUCCGAUAGGUGAAAAAUUCUGGAAUGAAUUUUCGCCCAAAAGACAUCUAUGUUAUGCUCAUAUUUGUUGCCCAGGGAUGGGGCCGCGACCGAUCAGGUUGUUGGUGAGGUAAUGGCUCACCAAGCCUUUUACCGGUACGGGCCGUGAGAGCGGGAGCCCGGAGAUGGGCACUGAGACAAGGGCCCAGGCCCUACGGGGCGCAGCAGUCGCGAAAACUUUACAAUACACGAAAGUGUGACAAGGCUAUCCCGAGUGCCAUCCGCUGAGGAAGGCUUUUACCCAGUAUAAAUAGCUGGGAGAAUAAGGAGAGGGCAAGUCUGGUGUCAGCCGCCGCGGUAANNNNNNCUCUCCGAGUAGUGUGGAUGUUUAUUGGGCCUAGAGCAUCCGUAGCUUGCUAAGCAAGUCCCCUGUUAAAUCCACCGAUCCAAUCGGUGGAUUGCGGGGGAUACUGUUUGGCUAGGGGACGGGAGAGGCCGACGGUAUUUCCGGGGUAGGGGUGAANUCCUAUAAUCCCGGGAAGACCACCAGUGGCGAANGCUGUCGGCUAGAACGCGCCCGANGGUGAGGGAUGNAAGCUGGGGNANCGAACCGNAUUANAUACCCGGGUANUCCCAGCUG
rnacentral:rRNA from 1 species